UACAGAGGUCCCAAGCGUUGUUCGGAUUCACUGGGCGUAAAGGGGUGCGUAGGCGGUCGGGUAAGUCUGAUGUGAAAUCUCACAGCUUAACUGUGAAACUGCAUUGGAUACUAUCCGGCUCGAGGAAUGGAGGGGAGACUGGAAUACUUGGUGUAGCAGUGAAAUGCGUAGAUAUCAAGUGGAACACCAGUGGCGAAGGCGAGUCUCUGGACAUUUCCUGACGCUGAGGCACGAAAGCCAGGGGGAGCAAAACGGG
rnacentral:rRNA from 1 species